rnacentral:rRNA from 1 species
CGGGAAAAGCUCAAAUUUAAAAUCUGAUGGUCUUUGGCCGUCCGAGUUGUAAUCUAGAGAAGUGUUAUCCGCGUUGGACCGUGUACAAGUCUCCUGGAAUGGAGCAUCAUAGAGGGUGAGAAUCCCGUCUUUGACACGGACUACCAGUGCUUUGUGAUGCGCUCUCAAA